rnacentral:rRNA from 1 species
GCGUGCCUAUCAUGCAAGUCGAGCGAACCACUUCGGUGGUGAGCGGCGAACGGGUGAGUAACACGUAGGUGAUCCGCCCAUCAGACGGGGACAACGAUUGGAAACGAUCGCUAAUACCGGAUAGGACGAAAGUUUAAAGGUGCUCCUGGCACCGCUGAUGGAUGAGCCUGCGGCGCAUUAGCUGGUUGGUAGGGUAAAGGCCUACCAAGGCGACGAUGCGUAGCCGACCUGAGAGGGUGAACGGCCACACUGGGACUGAGACACGGCCCAGACUCCUACGGGAGGCAGCAGUAGGGAAUCUUCGGCAAUGGGCGAAAGCCUGACCGAGCAACGCCGCGUGAAUGAUGAAGGCCUUCGGGUUGUAAAAUUCUGUUAUAAGGGAAGAACGACUUUAGUAGGAAAUGGCUAAAGUGUGACGGUACCUUAUGAGAAAGCCACGGCUAACUACGUGCCAGCAGCCGCGGUAAU